UCCUUCCUCCCUACAGAGCUCGAACCCCCCGCCCCUUCGCCGCCGUUCCGGUAAGUAGCAAUGGGUCGUGUCCGUACAAAAACAGUGAAGAAAUCUUCACGUCAAGUGAUUGAGCGUUACUACUCAAAAAUGACCUUAGAUUUCCACACAAACAAGAAGAUUCUCGAAGAAGUUGCUAUCAUCCCAUCGAAGCGUCUCCGCAACAAGAUCGCUGGAUUCUCUACUCAUCUGAUGAAGCGAAUCCAAAAAGGUCCGGUUAGAGGCAUUUCUCUUAAGCUACAAGAGGAAGAGAGAGAACGCCGUAUGGACUUCGUUCCUGAUGAAUCUGCUAUUAAUACUGAGAGGAUUGAAGUUGAUAAGGAAACUAUUGACUUGCUUGCUUCAAUGGGUAUGAGCGAAUUACCUGGUGUUGUACUCAAAGAAGAGCAGACGGUGGCUAUUGCUGGACCUGUUGGUGGAUUUGGCGGUGGUCGUGGUGGGUUCGGCGGCGGACGUGGAGGUCGUGGUGGUUACUGAGAUCGGUUUGUUCGUUUUUUUUUUUGGUUAUGAGAAGUUAUUUUUGCUGAAUUGUAGACUUGAUUUUAUCUGAUUAUUGUUUAAAUUUGGGAUUUUGUGAACUAAUUUAGUAUUUUUGAAUCUCUGAGUAAUGUGCAUUUCUCUCUAUG
rnacentral:misc_RNA from 1 species